rnacentral:misc_RNA from 1 species
CUGUUUGGUUUAGUGGUCAGCUACCAACGAAAAAAAAUAAAAUAAUAGCUUAGCUCUGCGAAAAAUAUUAAAUACAUAAGUACAGCAGCCAGUGCUGGUGCUAAUGGGUACAUAGUGCGUAUGUACAACCAGCGACAUGGGCAUGGUGGAGGCCACGACGCUGGAGGCCCACAACUCCUACACGUACCUCCUGGCGACAGUUUGCCUAACGCUCACUUUUAUUGUGAUGCUCGGAGCGUGUCUGUGCUGUAAAAAACGGAUGCCCAAAAACGACUUAAUGGGUGUCGAGGGUAUGGUCAAGUUGAAAAAUCCCGACGAAGUUGUAGUGGUAACCACUCUAGUUGGAAACAGCGAGUCCCAGGCGGAGCUGAAUGCAUCCACGGUGUCCAAUGCCGAUUCAGAAAAGAGGUCCAGCACUGCUGCUCAUCGCAGUUUACCGGACAUUCCAGUGGCCGAAAGCAACGAUAACGGAUCGGAACUUUAUGAGACAGUGGCAGACAAGCAACUAGUGAAUGCGCGCAACACCCGUAGCCAGAGCCCGCAACCCAGUAUGAAAAAGCAGACCAGCGUGUCCCAGCACAGCUCAAUCAGCCAGGCGGAUGACGUCAGUUCGCCGUACUCGAGGGUCAAGGGUCUGCCUCAUGACUACGCCAAGGUGCGGGGCACCGAACAUCCUUAUGCGCAGCUUAACGCACCCUCCACCUCCCAUACCACCCAUCAGGCCUCUUCAGCUGCAGCAGCGGCGGCGGCAGUUGUUGCCGGAUCCUCUGGCGAUCGUACCUCGCAGCAUAGCGAAGGAUCCAGAGAGCCGAAUGACACUGCACCGGCGCAAGUUGAAAUUCCAGCCGCCUCGGCUAUAGCCGGCAUGAUAUCGGCCAGCCAAGAUCUGCCGUAUAUGACUCCGCCCAUUGCAAACCAGCACUUUAGCGGGGACUCACAGGAUUCGUCGAAGGGCUACACAAGCAUCAGCGUGCGGGAACCGCUGGCAAAUAUUUUAGCCCAACAGCCACCAGGAAAGCCGUCUAUUAGAAAUCCAGCACUGUCACGCGAUGUCAAUGACUCGCACUACGCGACUGUAUCUGACGAUUCUGAUGAAACUUAUGCAGCUAUUGAAGACCCUAACAACCGUCAUGUAGUCAAUCCCGCCGACAUUUACACCAGCGGCUCAGAGACCUACGCACAAAUCCAGCCCAUGCAGGUCAAUCCCAUAGUGGUAGCUGUGGAGAUCAACAAUAGCAGCAGUAUUCCGAGCGCCAAUACAUCCAGUGGACCCAGUGGUGGGAUCCACAGACCGAUCAGUGGCAGUGGGGGUGGUGGUGGUGCAGAUCAUGGGAUUCCUGUGCCGCCGCCGGUGGAUAGUCUGCGGGCUCAGAUGCACUCGCGCCAGGCUUCUUCGUCAUCCAACAAUAGCACCUCCGUGUGCAACCUCGGCUCUCCAAAGCCGGAAAAGCGGCAGGCGAAUUCGCCUCUGCCUCCGACACCAAAAUCAAGUGGCCAAGCCCACCAUCUGCACGCGGGCAGUAUAAGCAACUUGACGUCUGGGCGAAAUUCUGUCAUUUCGGUGAUUGAAGCAGGCGGGGAUGGUCACGAAGCGGAGCCAACGGAGGGGUCGCCACAGCGCAAGCACAGCAAGAGCCUCAGUCCAACGAAGGAAAGCGAGGGCACCAAAAACAUCGAGGGAAUGUAUGCGAAGGUCAUCAAGAAACACAAAUUCUCGCGCAACUCUCCAUCCUCGCAGAACAGCUCGCCCAUUCUCACCAGGAAACAGCAGCAAGAAUCCUUGGGCGUCAGUCCGCUGGAUAGCGCAGCGGCUCAGAUAGUAGAUGGGCAAAAGGGACGGGGUAGGAGCAACAGCUACUCGGCCAAAGAUCACGGCUACGAGACCAUUCCAGCCGAUGGUCAGUUGAUGCACGAGAACCGAAAGUCGGACUGCUAUGCCGCUAACAUGCUGCAGAAGGAACGCCAACAGGAGGGAGGAGUUGAUAUGCCAAAAUGAGAUAUUUCCGUGUUUGUUCAACUUAAACGGCGAAAAUUUCGUGAGUUUUUGUUUGGAAGUAGCCGUGCGAUUGUCCCGUCCGUGACAAUAGCGACGGCAAUUGUAGCCAGCGCCAGCACAAAGCACUAUGAGACUAUUCCUAACCAACCACCCAG